rnacentral:rRNA from 1 species
UCAAGUUAUUAAGGGUGCAGGGCGGAUGCCUUGGCACUAGGAGCCGACGAAGGACGUGAUAAGCUGCGAUAAGCUUCGGGGAGUUGCACGUAAACUUUGAUCCGAAGAUUUCCGAAUGAGGAAACUCACUUAGAGUAAUGUCUAAGUAUCGUUAAGUGAAUACAUAGCUUAGCGAGGGGAACCCGGGGAACUGAAACAUCUAAGUACCCGGAGGAAGAGAAAGAAAUUCGAUUCCGUAAGUAGCGGCGAGCGAACGCGGAACAGGCCAAACCAAUGAAGUUUACUUCGUUGGGGUUGCGGACAUACAACAUGGAUGCAAUAUCGUAAAUGAAGAGAGUUGGAAAGCUCCGCCAUAGAAGGUAAUAGCCCUGUAGUUGAAACGAGAAAGCUACUAGUAUGAUCCAGAGUACCACGGGACACGUGAAACCCUGUGGGAAGCAGGAGGGACCAUCCUCCAAGCCUAAAUACUACCUAGUGACCGAUAGCGCAUAGUACCGUGAGGGAAAGGUGAAAAGAACCCCGGGAGGGGAGUGAAAUAGAACCUGAAACCCUGCACUUACAAGCUGUGGGAGCACAUUACUUGUGUGACCGCGUACUUUUUGUAGAACGGGCCAACGAGUUACGUUAAGUAGCAAGGUUAAGCACUUAAGGUGUGGAGCCGUAGCGAAAGCGAGUCUUAAAUGGGCGAUUAAGUUACUUGGCGUAGACCCGAAACCGGGCGACCUAUCCAUGAGCAGGUUGAAGCGAAAGUAAAAUUUCGUGGAGGACCGAACCCACGAGCGUUGAAAAGCUCGGGGAUGACUUGUGGAUAGCGGUGAAAUUCCAAUCGAGCCCGGAGAUAGCUGGUUCUCCCCGAAAUAGCUUUAGGGCUAGCCUCAAGCGUAGAGAAACGGAGGUAGAGCACUGAAUGUCCUAGGGGGUAUUGCACUUACCGAAGACUAUCAAACUCCGAAUGCCGUUUUCUUUUACUUGGGAGUCAGACUGUGGGUGAUAAGAUUCAUAGUCAAAAGGGCAACAGCCCAGAUCGUCAGCUAAGGUCCCUAAAUGUACGUUAAGUGGUAAAGGAUGUGGGAUUGCACAGACAACCAGGAUGUUGGCUUAGAAGCAGCCACUCAUUUAAAGAGUGCGUAAUAGCUCACUGGUCGAGUGAUCCUGCGCCGAAAAUUUCCGGGGCUAAAACGUACUACCGAAGCUACGGCAUCAUUUAUGAUGGGUAGGGGAGCUUCGUAUGCAGGCUGAAGCAUGACCGUAAGGACAUGUGGACAGUAUACGAGUGAGAAUGUUGGCAUGAGUAGCGAGACGUGGGUGAGAAUCCCACGGGCCGUAAACCCAAGGUUUCCAGGGGAAGGUUCGUCCGCCCUGGGUUAGUCGGGACCUAAGCCGAGGCCGAAAGGCGUAGGUGAUGGACAACAGGUUGAUAUUCCUGUACCGCCAAUAAGCGUUUGAGAGAUGGAGUGACACAGUAGGAUAAGCUAACCGUACUGUUGGUUAUGUACGGCUAAGCAUUGAGGCAGUCUAAAUAGGCAAAUCCGUUUGGACAAUGCUAGGAUGUGAUGGGGAAGCCCUUCGGGGCGAAGUAGCUGAUUUCACACUGUCAAGAAAAGCUUCUAUCGAGUUUAAAGGCGCCCGUACCGUAAACCGACACAGGUGGGUGAGGAGAGUAUCCUAAGGCCAGCGAGAGAACUAUUGUUAAGGAACUCGGCAAAAUGACCCCGUAACUUAGGGAGAAGGGGUGCCUGUCUAUGACAGGCCGCAGAGAAUAGGCCCAAGCGACUGUUUACCAAAAACACAGGUUUCUGCUAAGUCGCAAGACGAUGUAUAGGAGCUGACGCCUGCCCGGUGCUGGAAGGUUAAGGGGAUCUGUUAGAGCAAUCGAAGCAGUGAACUUAAGCCCCAGUAAACGGCGGCCGUAACUAUAACGGUCCUAAGGUAGCGAAAUUCCUUGUCGGGUAAGUUCC